rnacentral:rRNA from 1 species
UACGUAGGUGGCAAGCGUUGUCCGGAUUUACUGGGCGUAAAGAGCGCGCAGGCGGUCGUUCAAGUCGAGUGUGAAAGCCCCCGGCUCAACUGGGGAGGGUCACGCGAUACUGAUCGACUCGAAGGCAGGAGAGGGAAGUGGAAUUCCCGGUGUAGUGGUGAAAUGCGUAGAUAUCGGGAGGAACACCAGUGGCGAAGGCGACUUCCUGGCCUGUUCUUGACGCUGAGGCGCGAAAGCUAGGGUAGCAAACGGG